rnacentral:lncRNA from 1 species
UAUAAAAAAACUAGAGGCUCUUAAGAGCCUGUGUCGCUCACCUUGGUCUAUGUGCAUAUUCAACAAAAGACACAGAUGGAUUAAUGACAAAAUUGUGUUUUGGUGAUGGUGAUGUGUUUGUAGAUCUUACUUUACUGAACAUUCUUGCUACUAACAAUUAUCUUCAUCUUUAAUGAACUUGGCCCAUUAGUUACGGAGGAAAAUAUUUUGUUAAAAAUUUACAAAAAUUUACAAAAUUUAUGAAAAUUGUUAAAAAUUUACUGUAGAGAGCUGUAACUCCUUAAGGGGUCAACUGACCAUUUUUGUCA